rnacentral:rRNA from 1 species
GCGGGGCAACUGGCGGCGAGCGGCGAACGGGUGAGGAAUACAUCGGAACGUGUCCCGUAGUGGGGGAUAGCCCGGCGAAAGCCGGAUUAAUACCGCAUAUGCUCUACGGAGGAAAGCGGGGGAUUCGCAAGAACCUCGCGCUAUGGGGGCGGCCGAUGUCCGAUUAGCUAGUUGGUGGGGUAAAGGCCUACCAAGGCGACGAUCGGUAGCUGGUCUGAGAGGAUGAUCGGCCACACUGGGACUGAGACACGGCCCAGACUCCUACGGGAGGCAGCAGUGGGGAAUUUUGGACAAUGGGGGCAACCCUGAUCCAGCCAUGCCGCGUGCGGGAAGAAGGCCUUCGGGUUGUAAACCGCUUUUAGCCGGGAAGAAAAGGCACGGACUAAUACUUCGUGUUCUUGACGGUACCGGCGGAAAUAAGCACCGGCUAACUACGUGCCAGCAGCCGCGGUAAUACGUAGGGUGCGAGCGUUAAUCGGAAUUACUGGGCGUAAA